GGGCGACUAACUCAGCGGGAGAGUACUACCUUCACACGGUAGGAGUCACUGGUUCAAAUCCAGUGUCGCCCACCA
rnacentral:tRNA from 1 species